UGUGUGUGUGUGUGUGUGUGUGUGUGUGUGUGUGUGUGUGUGUGUGUGUGUGUGUGUGUUUGAUCACACGGUUUUGGAUCAACAGGCAGCCUUAACCAAUCAGGACGCAGCAUUCAAGCUCAUUCUACAAACCGAAAGUUCGAUGGGGAAAUCCAAAGAAUCGAUGAUUGGCUGAUGCAGCUAUCCUUCACAAGCACAGCCGGAGCCCGAAGCGCAGGAGGUUAUUCACUGCACGACAGCAGUUGGACCGAAUCAUCUGGAGAGCGGCCAGAAGACAUAUCUUUCUCUACAAAUAAAUAAUCAAAAGAAGACAGGGAUGGAUCCAUCGUGGAAGAAAAGUAGGUCGGCUACCUCUGCUACUGACGAACCAGCGGACAAUGACCACGCCCCCGCUUCGCAGACAUCCACAAAAGUGCAGCCCGAGCCCCAGAAUGAAGACUCAUCCCCGGCUCUGGAACAUCGGGACAUGGAACAACUGGCCGCGGUUCUGCGUGUGUAUCCGGACGCCACUGCAAGCGCCGAAAACCUCAUCAAACAGACAGCAGUGAAGCACUUCCCCUCGCCACCACCAAAACUAAAUGUGUGUGUGAAGUGGAUCCACAUCUGAAUCUCUGAAGGAUCGUCGUUAAUUCUUCUGUUGAAUCAAACCUUACGCUGCCAUUGAUGUGUCUCUCAUUGCUCCUCAAAUCAAUAUUCAAAAACAUUCCCGAUCUAAACGUUGCCUCGCGUUCUAUAGAACAUUGUGGAGCUAGUAUUGUGAUAUGCAUAUGUCUUACUUUAUUUUGUAUUCAUUUAUUGAUAUAGCACCUUUCAAAACAAAGUCACAAAGUGCUUAACAAUAAGAACAGAUAAUCAAAGACAAUAAGAGCAAUGCAAGAUAUUACAAGAUGCAAUACAUUAAAUAAGAUCCAAAACAUCAAAAAAGAUCAAUAAGAAAACCAAAAAAUUCAAUAGUUCACUAAUGCCAUCAAAAGCCAAUAGAUAAAAGUGAGUCUUAAGAAUAGAUUUAAAAUGGGGUUUUCCUGCCUUAAUCAAAAAAAGACAGAUGGAUCCAUGGUGGAAGUCAUUACAUGACUUACCAGUGACUUCAUGAUGGUCUGUAUUCCUGUAAGGGAACAUGGUGGUCACUGAUCAGUAAUACAUGUUUUAGCAGUAUCAAUACCAACCUGUACUACUAGUCUUCAUUAAUAUACAUUUAAUAUACAAAUGUAGAAUCAUUGCAGAGUUUACUGCCGGCCACUAUGGGAUAGUAUUCGAUUAAAGACCGCUGAUCGGUUCAGUUAGGAUAACAUAAUUCAUGUAAGUCCAUUAUCAUUCUUUAUUAGGCUAUAGCUGUUGUUGACAAGGUUGGUUAAGUUCCUGAUAAUAUUUUGUUAGACAUGUGCAUGUAGGAAUUGUAGCUUAUGUUGUUAUUUUAGGUAUUGCUUCAGGGCUUCUUCAUCUUUGUCAUUCAAUAAGUAAUCCGACAUCGCGGAGUGUAUUUCUUCAAUCAUGUUUGGUUAAUGAUCCAUUUAGACUUAUACAAAUAAAUGAAUGUUUUGGAUACUGA